rnacentral:rRNA from 1 species
UACAGAGGGUGCGAGCGUUAAUCGGAAUUACUGGGCGUAAAGCGCACGUAGGCGGCUUGGUAUGUCGGGUGUGAAAUCCCCGGGCUCAACCUGGGAACUGCAUCCGAAACUGCCUUGCUCGAGUAUGGGAGAGGGAAGUGGAAUUUCCGGUGUAGCGGUGAAAUGCGUAGAUAUCGGGAGGAACACCAGUGGCGAAGGCGGCGAUCUGGGCUGAUACUGACGCUGAGGUGCGAAAGCGUGGGGAGCAAACAGG